GUGAUCAAGAGUGUCGGCUCAA
rnacentral:siRNA from 1 species